AAGAGUAAAGUACUUCCGCUUCCUUAGGUGGAGCUGGAAAGGUGGAGGCGGAAGUGACUGAUCAAUUCAGGGGCGUGGGGUUCGUUUAGGUUUUGCCCUGUGUAUGACCUCGUUUGGAGCCAUGAAACCAGAGUUUCGCUCUUUUUGACCAAGCUGGAGUGCAAUGGCGUGAUCUCGGCUCGCUGCAAUCUCUGCCUUCCAGGUUCAAGUGAUUCUCCUGCCUCAGCCUUCUGAGUAGUUGGGAUUACAGGAAGCUCUUCCACGAGUUCACGAAUGGAAAUAACAUCAAGAGUUUUUCAUCUUCUUAGUGUGCAAGGUAUGGAUAUUCUGUGUGUGAACUUCAAGAGUAUCUAAGGGAGGCAAUAACAUGGUUGAUAAUAUACCAGAGACUACAAACUGUCUGUGCAUCCCAGAGGAACAGGAAGCUUGUGCAGGUGAAAAGACUGGAGGAGGAAGUAUGUUGAUGAUACCCAGGAAGCCCACCUUCCACUUCUUUGGUCAUCAGAAAUGUCUGAGGAAUAGUCUUAGUGGAUUAUCCCAAACUUGACACAUUUUUUGCAAAAUGCUAUACAAAAAGAAGAUACAUGCGAUUAUGACAAGAUUCUCCACUUGGUGUGACCAGUCUCAUACAACCCAAGGCUGUGUGUCCAAAGGCAACUGUACUGAUCUUGACAAUAAUCAAAAGGUAGCCAGGUGCAUCGGGGAAAGCACUGACAUUGGAGUCAGACAGACUGAAGUUCAUAUCUGAUUCUGCUAUAUGACAACGUGUGGGCUAUGUGGCUAACUUCUCAGAGCUUCAGUUUUCUCAAGGGCAAAAUGAAAAUAAUAGAAAUAAUAGAAUCCACCUCACAGGGCUGUGGUGAGAAUUGGAGAUGAAGCACAUACAGCAUAUUACAUCAACUAAACACAUGCUAAAAAUUAAAGGGGAUGAAAGAUACAUUGGUCCCUGCAGUGGGAAGUUUCCUUGACAAUGCAAUUAUUGAUUCCAGAAGGCUGAACAAAUGUUGACAGAGGAACACACUGUUUGCUUAUGUCUAAUCUUCCCAUCUGACUUAUAUAAAUGUCACAAAUGAAUCUCAGACAUGUGCCCAAUAUCAAAUAUCCAUACGAUGGCCCUGGAAAGAGGCAAUCUACAUUUAUGGCUGAUGAGAAGAUGGAUUUUUAGCUUGAAAGAAACUUAUUACUGGGGAGAGGAAGUAUAAAUGAAUGGAGAGAGCUAUGAAGAGGUUGAGAGAAUACAGCCAAGGCACAUGACAGAAUUGCUCUGUUGAAGUUUUGCAAGGUCAAAUGACUCACUUUGUCUAAUGGAACGGGAACGAACAAUUUUUUUGUGUCACGUUUGAACAGAUACCUUUGAGAAGUUUAUGAUUCUCCAAGUUCUCUUUCUCCUACUGUGGCACCUACUGACAAGAUAAAUGUGUAGAGGUUCCUGAGUCUAGGGGUGAGUCUUGCAUAUCUGAUGAAUCCACCAGUAAAAGUACCACUGCUGAAAUCACGCAAAUAUAUUUUUUUAGACCUUAUCAACCUUGGCAUGGAAUUAGAUGAGCAAAAAGCUGAGUUGAAUUGAUGAAAAGAAUCCCAAGUCAUUAAUUACUAAUGAUGGAGCUUGUAAAGUACAGCAUCACUGGGGAAAGCAACUGACUUUCCUCAUACACAUUAUAUUUUUAUCUGAAUUUCAAUACUGCUUAAAUAUGUACUUCAUUACAGGGCACAACUAAAAUAGAAGGGCACCUGCUAAGUCAGAGCCAUAAAACAGAUCUACAGCCUGCUGGCAUGUGAAAUUUCUCUAAUUUAUAUUUUUUAUGAAACUACCCUCACAUUAUGUGGUUGGCAGCAUAAAUAAUAAAGCAUGUUACUGAAGCAAUUUUACAUUUACUGUAUUAGUAAGUAAAUGCAAUGGCCACUCUUAUUCUCAAAUAAAAACUACCCAGCCUUUUCAUGAAAGAUGUUUGCAAUUUCCAUUGGCCUGUAUAUGCAAUAAAAAGCCAUAACUCAUCAAAA
rnacentral:lncRNA from 1 species